rnacentral:misc_RNA from 1 species
GAGUUUUACACAACUCCACCACACGAUACUGUAUAUAGGUAGAGCUAGACCGGGGCGCUAGCUUGUAUGUGAAACUUAAUACGUAUAUGUGAUUGCUCUAACUCUCCGUGAAUGAAAUGUACAUUAAACGCAUGGUUUGACUAUUCAUACAACAUUGUUGGACAGUAUAUAGUCUUGCAGAUUGAGGUGAAUAAUAGUUAAUUUGGUAUCUAGUCACCCCUGUAUGGCCUAGCAUCGCUCAACAACUAACAUUAUUUGUACAGAUAUGAUAUCCCAUGGUGCAUUUGAUUAGUGCCAAAGAUCCCUUAAGAACAAGACUUUUUUUUUGUUAGCAUAAUUCUUACAAUACUUAUUUAUCAUGUACAUGUAGCAAAACUGUGAUAUAUUUGCAGGUCCUACCAUUUACAUUUUUUUCCUGUUUUUGAAAAUAGUGCCUGCAUGCUUUGUAAUGAUAUUACUUUAAAUGUUGAUUAAUAGAACCGACAGUGAAAAGAGUAAGAAUUUUUACCAAGUAGAAUAAUGUAGAGUUCUAGAGACUAGAUAUAAAGAAUAGGGCAGAUUUUGUAGUGAAUUAAGCCCUCUUUAAAUAGCUUAAUAGCAAAUGACAUAAACUUGUUAUGAUGUUGUCAGGAAGAAAUAGUGUCCAGUCAGAUUAUUAUGGUCACAUUUCACUGACAGGGUCAUUUAUGUGCUUUAGAGCAUGAUGAUUUGAUAAAUACUCAUUGAUGUGUGAGCCUGAGUGAGCUUUUUUGCUGAGUGAACUCAUGCUCUCUGAUGCGAGUUCUUCCUUAUACUUGCUAUUGUGUGAUGGGUUUGUGGAAGGCUGCCUGGUUCAGAGUGCUCUUCGGUGAUGGAAAGCUAUUUCAUUUCUCUCUCUCUGAACUCCCCUUUAACCUGAAAUCCUCACUUUUGGUUGCUUUGGGAUGUGUGCACAUCACAAGCUACAGGAAUCCCCCAUGCACACCUAUGUCCCAUAGUGCUAAGCUGAGUGUCAUCAGUAUGCAUUGCAUCCCAGAGGUUUGGACCGAGGAUCAGGUCACAAAUUAUGUCAACAGGCUGGAAAUCCACCAUUAAGCCACAAGAUCCAUUGCCAAAACCAUCUUAUAGUUUUUGAAUUUUACCUUACUAAAGAUUCAUUAUAUUACAAACUAUUUGUAACUUCUAUUUUAGACAUGAACAUGGAUUGAUUUUCUCACAGAAAUACUUGUAUUUAUGCAUUUGAAAUAGUUGUCAAACAUGUUUAUUGUCUAAACAUGUAGUUCAUGAAAAACUUCAGGAUUUUCAAGGUUGGCAAAACCUUUACAUUUUUAUUGUACAUGUAUUUAUUAAUUGUUUACAUGUGAUAGAUGAUCUGUGAUAUAUAUUUUGGGUACAAUGAAGUAUGUGUUAAGAAAAUCUUUUAUAUUUUACAUUCUGCACCACUGCUAUAUAGAGGACCUCUCCAACGCUUUGAUUACUGUAAAUGUUUUGAUUUUUUUUCCGUACGUUUAGACUAAAUUGUUUUUUUUAAUAUUUUAUUAGUUUUAGAAUUGGUAUUAGACUUACUGGUAGUCAAAAUUUCUGAAUUAGAAAACAAUGUUUUUUGUUGAAAGAACAUGUACAUGUAAUUGAUGGGAUAACAAGAGUUCUGUUUAUCAUGGAAUGAUUUUUUAGGUAAAUUAAAUUAAAAUUGAGAAGUCUGUUUUAUUUCUUCUUCAAUUUAAAAAGGAAUUUUUUUUUUUGUGUUACUGAAUAAACCCCCAUUAUUUAUGUGUAAAG